GUAGAACUCUAAUCUACAUCUUCUGACUGCAAUUCAGACACUUUUAUUAAGCUAAGGCCUU
rnacentral:tRNA from 1 species